UCCAGGUAUCAUUACCCUGAACACAUAGGGGUUUUGAAGCGAACCCGGGGAACUGAAACAUCUAAGUACCCGGAGGAAAGGAAAUCAAUUGAUACUCCGCUAGUAGUGGCGAGCGAACGCGGAUCAGCCGAGACCAAUAAGUGACUGGAACGACCUGGGAAGGUCGGCCAUAGUGGGUGAUAGCCCCGUAUGGGUAAUGUCUUGUUUAGGUCCUUGAGUAGGGCGGAACACGUGAAAUUCUGUCUGAAGAUCGGAGGACCACCUC
rnacentral:rRNA from 1 species